UGGGUUCAACUGACACUUUCGAAUCGGUGCUCGACCCAGGCCUGGAGCACCGCUUCACGAGGAAGUAAAUCUUCAUUACCGACGAGACGAGCGGCGAGGCGGCACCGCGGCUCCAGGCGGGGCGGCGGCUCCUCCGACACCCGCGUCAUGCCCUUCAGCUUCCAGCAGCAGACGAGCGGCUGAAUAGACACUCCCAGAGAAUGACUGAACGACAGCCAGGCUGGACUGAAUGAUCCAGCAGUUGCUGCAGGUGUGGCCAGGUGUUGCAACCCUCCAAUAAGCACCUGUACCAAUCUGGAUAGAGAUGUGUAGUACACAGUGUAAGGACAAUCCAGUUGUCAGUCGAACAUCUGGCACUGUUCCCCAAAAGAGCUGACAAACACCGAGCCAAGUUUUUUUUCUUUUCUUUACACUCUGGCCUAUAGCGCUGGUAGGCUUUUUUCAGGGGACUGGUGGUCGACCCAAGCCCGUCAUGGCGCAGGCAAGUGUUUAUAGCAGCACCAUUUAUUCUUGGCUCAUGCUGCCCGCCGGAGCUCAUUCUUGAUUCACUUGGACAGUUCCUCUAGAGUUGGGGUUGAUAGGUGAUCUUCAGGACAGCACGUGGGUAGCCUUAUGCCACUUGGCAAUGACUGAAAAAUCCCAGGUGGUAGCAGAAGAUUUGAACCCGCAUUGUCCAGAACAUGGUGAACGCAGGACCUGCACACUAACCAUUCAGCCACUGCCUCUCUGUUCCAACAUGAGUAAAAAAUGAGAGGCCAGAAGAGAGUGGUUGAUUUCAAAUGGAGAAGUGUCUAGAUAGGCAGGAGGAAAUAGAUGAAGGAAGGCUGCUCUGGAGUUAACCUGCAUAAGGAAUUAGGAUAGUAUAGAGACGAGUAGAACGUUAUGUGAAGAGAGGGGCCACAGUAGAGGUGGAGGCAUGCAGUUAGCAAGCUUAGAAGGGCAAUCAUCAUGAAAAUGUCUGUAGAAGACAGAGGGGCAACAUUGCAGCAGAGUUUGCUAUAGAAGAAGAGAGUUUAAGUUUGACUCCAUCGAGUCCAAAACAGCUAUGUGAGUGAAGCCCCUCCUAUAUGAAAUGCGCUCUCCAUACGAGGACAGACAAGGCCCCUGGAUAUCAUUUGUGAGGGGUAAAAAACUGAAAGACUAAUACAGAACACACAACUUCAAAGAAGCUGAUUUAGGAAGAGGUGAGAUGAAAUUAUGAGUUGAGGAUAGACCAAAUAAGUUUAUUGUUUAAGUGGACAGCCGAGUGUUGUCAUAGAAUAGGGAACAGAUGUUCGGAAUUCUAUCCCUCUGUUUUUAUCUCGUGUUUCCUUUCAAGCUGAUCUAUCUAUGCUGUGGUAAUCCUGCCACUGUCUUCCCCUAAGCCUAUCAGCACCUAUAUUCUGUACGACUAUUUUAUCUCCCUCUCUGAGGAAAAAGUCAAUUUCUCCGCCUAUCAACUCAACAAAUUCCAUCGUCUAUUCCCUAGUCUUCGACCACACUCAGCAGUCCCCUUCCUCUACACUAAAUAUUCUCUGUCUAUCCUUAACUCAAAACAUUAACUGAAAACUUAUUUCCUCUCUUGCUAAAUCAGUGUCUUCGAGGUUAUGCAUUUGUAUCGUUUUCACCAGUUCUAUUCCCCCUCACACAUGCUGUCCACAUACAAGGGUCUUUUCUGUCCUCAUAUGGAGUAUGACAGAAGUCUUAGACAAAUGGUGGAAAAUUCUGUAGGAUCAAGGUCAUGGGCACGAGAGGAAGUGACAUCUUGGCAUACAUAGAUGCAGCAUCCAGCUUGGAUUGAAAGCUAGGAUGAAGAUAGCAAGAGACAUACAUCACGGCAGCCACUAAUACAUAGGAAUACAUAGGAGGAACAGACACCAGAAGACCUAUCGGUCUAUGGCGAGGGUGUCUGUUUACUACCGCUACUACUAGUAAUCUACGUGUGAUAGGACAGGACAGAAAAGAUGAAGGGUCCUCCCCACCCACCUCUCCCUCCGGCAACGUGCCGGCAGGAAAUAGUUAGAAGAGAACACCAUGUACCUUUAAGGAGGAAUGGGACAUGGAAAUUUUACAGUAAAGAGAGAAAUAAGAGGAAAUUACUACCCUUAACUUACACUACUGGUAACCUAAGCUGUGGGGGAAAAUGACUUCAUUACAUAAGAACAUAAGAACACAGAAACACAAGGAGAAUGGAAGAGGACGAGUGGCCUGCACAGGGCAGCCUCAGGAUCCCCCCUAAUACUCACGAUGGGUGAGGUGUAGUUUCAGGGGCACAGGUGGAGGCUUGAUCCUCGUUUUACCGGCGGUACUAGGCACGGCACAAGUAACCUGUCACCUUA